CACGUAGGUGGCGUGGUAAGUCAAAGGUGAAAGCCCUCGGCUCAGCCGAGGAACUGCCUUUGAAACUGCUCUGCUUGAGUCCGGGAGGGGGGAGCGGAAUUCCCAGUGUAGCGGUGAAAUGCGUAGAUACUGGGAGGAACACCGGUGGCGAAGGCGGCUCCCUGGACCGGUACUGACACUGAGGUGCGAAAGCGUGGGUAGCAAACA
rnacentral:rRNA from 1 species